rnacentral:lncRNA from 1 species
GAUGAUAAAGCUUGUUCUUUAGGAAUCUAAAUAAUACGUUAUUAACUAAGAGAAUUUAAACUACUGAUUAAUUAAUCUAAAGCCUGGUGCACAUUUGAAUAUGCUAUAAAUGAAACGAAACUAGAAAUGGUAGAAUAUGCAUAUUACAUUAUCGGUUCCUUUCUAACUACCAUACAUGAGCUUGCAAACUUAAAUUAUUAGAUCGAUGCUUAUUGAUACAUUGCAGGUAGGCACAUGAUUCGAAUGAGCUAAUAACUAACAUAUACGCAUACAACUUAGAAUAUAGAUUACAACUAAAUGGCUUCAAGCCUUAAGGCUGCAUUUUUAUUCAUGCUUCAAGUGUUCCAGCUUACAUUGUAUACCAGGAUAGUAAUUGUGUACCUGGUGAUUGGGAAAUAAAAAGAGGAGGAAGGAUCAGUAGUGAAGCGCAGUAACAAACACAUCAACAGACUUGGUACAACAACACCAGUGAAACUAAACAGCAGAAACCUAGGAAAGAUUCAAAAUCAAACAGGGGCAAAUAGCAAUAGCAAUUCCGAAAAAUCCAAACAACAACAACCAAAAUGAAUACCACAAAACCAAUAGAGGUGAACCAGUGCUCAAACUCAAAAGAGAUGAUCGAGUAGCAGAUGGAUAAUCAGUAACACACUCAAGAAUAACCACUAGCAACUUCAAGGGGGCUAAAUAACAAUACCAAAUGAACUCUAGUAGUACUAGAUGCACUUAAAACCAAAAGAGGAGGACUAGUUACAAGAGAAGCAACGCUUCUGAUUUUGAACACUCAAGAAUUCAGCCUAUACUCUCUAUUUUUCAACUUAGCUCUUUAGGUGUUAAAAGCCAGCCUUACCUCUGGAAUUAACUCUCCAAAUUCCAGCUUCUCUUUUUUACUCUCCCAAAAAUUCUCCUCAAUCUUUUUUCUCUUCUUUGUUCUAAAAAUCUGAUCUUCUCCCAAAAAUUUCUUUUUCUCCUAAGUGUCAAAUGAUCCCUAUUUAUAUCUAAAACAAGACUCUCUUCCCCUCCCUUUUAAUUAUUACUACUACCCUCUUUUUAUUAUUACCCUUCCAAUUAGCCUCCCCUUUUUUUUAAUUUUCAGCCCCCCAAAUAUUCUCUUCUAUGUCUAUCUUUUAACCUUUUAUCAUUAUUUGCACUAUUCCUACUUCUAAUUAAGCAAACACUCUCAUUACUUAGUGGUCCCUUUCUACCAAUUAGUUCAAAUUAAAAUUGUUAGGGGCCUACAAGAUAAACCAAUUCAGUCAAACCAAUUCCCAUUUUUUAACUUCCCAAAUUACCCCCGAAACCCCUUAAUUAUUAUUGCAUUACCCUAAGCUUUACAAAUCUAAAGUUACAUAUAUGUAAGUUCAACCCUGAAACUAAUUUCUGUUAAAACACCUAAAUCACUACAGCUAUAUCCAAUCUUCCUGACAAUUAAAUGACUAAGGUGAAAUCAUUUAAACAAAAUAAAUGAAUUUAAAUCGAAAACCAAACUUAAUGCAUCAUAGAACUCAACAGAACCAUUAAACUGAAACUGAAUCUAAAUCAAAAUCACAUGAAUACAUGGAUUAAAUUUUAACAUAAUUCUAAAUCGAAUCCUAUACAAGAAGGCAUGAUCAUUGUUAGUAUUGACAAUUCCCCGAAGCUUAACUUCCUAAAAUCAGUACAUACAACAUUCGAUCCAAAAUUAUUUGACGACAUUCAUGCAGUCAAUUAUACAAACUAUAACAGGUAUUAGUUAACAACAAACAAACCGAAACAGAAAUAAAAGAACGAGGUGACCCGUCAAAAAACAAUGAAUUUAUGGAAAUUAAUUAAUCGACGAAUCUAUUUAGACGAUUGCAUAUAACAAUUGACAAGAAACAAUCAGAAACAGGUAAUCAGACAAAUUCAAAUGGUUUUUCUUUUUUAACAGAGACUGAGAGUUAUAAUAUAAUUCAACUAAUCAACGAUAUUAGUCGAAUCGACUAUAUACUCUAUAAUACACACUCAACGAAUAGAAACAAUUUGACCAAAUAAAAGGUCAUUUGAGAUGAGAAGAAUUAACUGAAAGAAAUAAAAAAAUCAAAUAAACCAAAACUAAAACAACAAAUGGAUCCUACUAUCAGAGAAGAGUAAAGAAAUGGAAAAAUUACCUCAGGGACUCGAAAUCAGAUGGACCCAGUAUCAAGCUCAGACUCAACCAUUUUGAGGUAGAACGGACCUUAGUUUAAGUGUUUUCGACUGAGAACACUUCGACUAAUGUCGAUUAGACCCCAAAUACCCUUUAAUUUUGGACGAAGCCCGUGUUUUGGUUUUCUAGGGUUCUAUGGCUCGAUUUGUGAUUCGAGUGGUUCCAAGGUGAUUCGAAAGGGAACCAGUGGCGGUUCAGGGGUGAUGGUGGCCUGGGGUGGCUAGUGUGAGUUUGGGCUGGUUUAGGCCAUGUAUAGGUUUUGCUCGAAUCUUCAGUUGAAGAUUCGAGAAGCUGUGGGGUGAUUCGAGGUCAAAGGUUAGUGGAUUCGAGUUGAGGUAGGUGAGGAGGUUAAGGGGUGUUAGUAUGGUGGUGGUCGGAGACAGGGCCGCCAGGUUUACAGCGAAGGGAUAUGGUGGCGGCUAGGGUAAACCCUCGUUCAUCUCUAUAUGAGGGAGACAAAGAAUAGUGAAAGAGAAGGGGCGUUUGGUUUGGGGGAUGGGGUAGGCAAUUAGGCUUAUAUAGUGAGGGUUGGCUUGAUCUUGGCCGUUCGAUCAAACGAGAUAGACGGCCUGGAUCUCUUAGUUAAGG